AGUUAAAGCACAGUAACACAACAUUUACCAUGUUUUUACCACAGUAACGUAGUUUUAAUGUGGUAUUUGUAGUUAAAACACAGUAUCCACAACACUUACCAUGUUUUACCACAGUAACUGUGUUUUUACUGUGUACUAUUUGUAGUUAAAGCACAAAAACACAACAUUUACCAUGUUUUUACCACAGUAACGUAGUUUUAAUGUGGUAUUUGUAGUUAAUCACAUAACUUGCCAUGCCUUUAAUACUUUUAUGUAAAAAAAAGUAAUUCAAUAUUUUUUUGUCUUGCAGUUUCUUCAGAUCACAUACAUCUCCAUCUCCUACAACAACCUUUAGUGUCCAGCAGCUGUUUAACAGCUCUCUCUCUCUCUCUCUCUCAGCUUUUCCUUGCCUAUUUUUCUGAACUGUUAUUCAUAAUUAAUUUACACAUAUUUGCUCUCUUUCUUCCUUUCUCUUUUUCAUCAUGGCAUAUUUUCAAAGCUCAGAAUUGAAUUUUGAUCGGUUAUGUCAAAAAGCUGCUAAUAUUAACAGCUAAAAAGGAAGACCAAAGGAAGGCCUGUCGAACUCUUGUCUUGUCUUGUUUGUGGAGAGGGAUGAAUUUGGCCAUCUUGUGUGUUUAUGGAGAAGACCAAAAGCUGCAAAGGCAAACAUUUCCAAUGGAUUUCUCACAUACUACUCCAUCAGCUCUCCACAAUAUCAGCCGUUUCAAAAGCUUCCACAUCUCUGUCUCUCUCUCUGCUCUCACAUCUGCUCUCAGUCCUUUACUACCAACGUCCAGUCUUAGCAUGUCUACGUGUAUUAAUUUUUCCUCUACAGUCAACACUCCCAUCUCUACUGUGAGCACUUCUGUCGCUAUCACUAUGACUUUUAUAAUUAUAAAAUUAUAAUUGUUA